rnacentral:rRNA from 1 species
AGAGUUUGAUCCUGGCUCAGAGCGAACGCUGGCGGCGUGGCUAAGACAUGCAAGUCGAACGGGUGCAGCAAUGCAUCAGUGGCGAACGGGUGAGUAAUGUAUCGCUAACGUACCCUCCAGUCAGGGAUAGCCGGGGGAAACUCCGGGUAAUACCUGAUCAGACCACCGGCCCCGCAUGGGGCUGUGCUCAAAGGAGCAAUCCGCUGGAGGAGCGGGCGAUAUCGUAUCAGCUAGUUGGUGCGGGUAACGGCCCACCAAGGCGACGACGCGUAGCCGGGCUGAGAGGUCGGCCGGCCACAUUGGGACUGAGACACUGCCCAGACUCCUACGGGGGGCUGCAGUAACGAAUCUUCCGCAAUGCACGAAAGUGUGACGGAGCGACGCCGCGUGUGGGACGAAGCCCUUCGGGGUGUAAACCACUGUCAGGGGUUACCAAGUUCUGAGGAGCCCCAGAGGAAGGCACGGCUAACUCUGUGCCAGCAGCCGCGGUAAUAC